rnacentral:rRNA from 1 species
UGGCUCAGAAUCAACGCUGGCGGCGUCUUCUCAGACAUGCAAGUCGUACGAUUAAAGCUCUCUUCGGAGAGUGUAUAGAGUGGCGCACGGGUGAGUAACACGUAAGUAAUCUACCUUCGAGUGGGGAAUAACAGUCGGAAACGACUGCUAAUACCGCAUAAUGCAGCGGCACCUAAUGGUGUCAGUUGUUAAAGCAUUUAUGUGCUUGAAGAGGAGCUUGCGGCAGAUUAGCUAGUUGGUAAGGUAAUGGCUUACCAAGGCAACGAUCUGUAGCCGACCUGAGAGGGUGGUCGGUCACACUGACACUGAAUAACGGGUCAGACUCCUACGGGAGGCAGCAGUCGGGAAUUUUGGGCAAUGGGCGAAAGCCUGACCCAGCAACGCCGCGUGAAGGAUGAAGU